rnacentral:rRNA from 1 species
AUUGAACGCUGGCGGCCGGCCUAACACAUGCAAGUCGAGCGGAGCGGCGGACGGGUGAGUAAUGCCUAGGAAUCUGCCUGGUAGUGGGGGAUAACGUCCGGAAACGGGCGCUAAUACCGCAUACUCUCAGAUGAGCCUAGGUCGGAUUAGCUAGCAGGUGGGGUAAAGGCCUACCAAGGUGACGAUCCGUAACUGGUCUGAGAGGAUGAUCAGUCAACAUGGAACUGAGAAACGGUCCAGACUCCUACGGGAGGCAACAGUGGGGAAUAUUGGACAAUGGGCGAAAGCCUGAUCGAGCCAUGCAGCGUGUGUGAAGAAGGUCUUCGGAUUGUAAAGAACUUUAAGUUGGGAGGCGUUACCAACAGAAUAAGCACCGGAUAAAUUCGUGCCAGCAGCCGCGGUAAUUC